GGUCUCGUAGCUCAGCUGGUAGAUCAUACGCGUACAAAGCGUAGGCGGCGUCCACGCGUGGGUUCAAAUCCCACUGAGGCUA
rnacentral:tRNA from 1 species